UUUCUGUCGCACCUGAGCGUUUUCAGGUCUCGCCUAAGGUCCGGGGCCGCUGGGCGCGCGGCGAGGUCCUGGCGCCCUCUGGCGGGGUCCGCGGACAAGCCCCCUGCCCGGCCCGCCGGCCGCAGACACCGUGUUGGGCUGGGCGUCGCUUCGCAGUCCGUCCCGGGACCGGCCCUGGGGCCUUCCCCUGCGGCUCGGGUUUCGAACUCAGGUUGCAGUGAGUGGCCAAGGAGGCAGCGUUUUCUGGAGUGCUUUCUCAUAAGCUUAUCUGUGGCUGAUACCUGAUGAAAACUGAGGAAAUAGGAACUACCUCUUGUGGAGGGGAAGCAGGCCUACAGUGGGCCAGGCCCUGUACCAGCUCCCUGAAAAGCAUCUACUGUGGACACCUGCACAGCUUUCAUAUCAGGAUGUUCAAAGUCCACAGCACUGAGUAAAUGACAGAGCUGUGGAAAGAAGACAAGGCUCAUGCAGUGCGGACGUCAUGAAGAACCUACACCUCUCAACCUACCCACAGCAGCCAUCAUCAUUUAACUAAAAGGCCUUUCUUUCUCCAUGCCUGGCUCCUGAGUAGGGUGACCAACUCAUUCUGGUUUGCCCAGGACUGUCCCAGUUUAAACACUGAAGACCCCAUGAUGCCGGAACCUCCCAAGUCCCGGGCAGAUCGUGACAGUGGAUGCCCUACUCCCUCAUCCUUACACCUGGGAAAAAAGAACUGUAAAUUCACCAAAAUAAUUGUGUGCUUUAUUUUACAGUGGUUGUUAAUGUUACAUCCCCAUUUUUUAAGGGGAAAAAAACAUACUUUUGGUUAUGAUGUGUGGAGAUUUAUUGCCAUAUAUAUUGAAUCAAAAUAUAUUAACAUAAAAGUACUUGUGAAGUAAAAUCUUUCUUGUGCAUUUUCAACACUUACAAACUGGAAAUCAGAAGAUUAAAUAUUUACUAUAAAGAAGAAAGAAAACGGAACAACAAGGGGGACAGAACAAGGCCUAGGACUGAAGCCUACUGAAUCUGGUCUAGUACUCCUUCCUACCUUUAGGAUUCCUCAAUAAGAGAUGCUUUGAAAGCACAGUGUUUCAAUUGGCUGAGACACCUUAGAAGAUUUCAUAGUUUCCUAAAUUUUAGUAGACAAAUUUUCAUUUUCAACUUAUUUUUCUUUAUCUACUUUCAUAAUCUAAAAAAUAUUUUCAGAACCUAAACACUGGAAUUAUAUCAAGGUAAGGAACUAAAGAACAUUCUUCAGUAGAGUUAGGUUCUUAAACUCUGACUAAAGAGGCACCUUAGUCUGGUUGAGAAGUCUGCAGUGUUCUAGUAGAAUCCUAGCACUAGAACUUUCAAGGCUUUAAGAAUGUCUAAACUGUGAUCCAAGUACGUGAUCCAACUGCCUCAACUGUGAUCUAACAAAAUUUUGAUACAUUAACCCCUCCCUCAAAUUUCCCUCUGGAUUCUUUCAAAAAAUCAGUUUAGUACUUGUGUUGCUAGGAAUUUUCACAAAAGUUUGGGAAGAGUUUGAACUGAGGAAAUGUUUGAAAUAAUUGUAACAUCUGAGCAUCUUUGGAA